rnacentral:rRNA from 1 species
CCUACGGGAGGCAGCAGUGGGGAAUAUUGCACAAUGGGCGCAAGCCUGAUGCAGCGACGCCGCGUGAGGGAUGACGGCCUUCGGGUUGUAAACCUCUUUCAGCAGGGAAGAAGCGAAAGUGACGGUACCUGCAGAAGAAGCACCGGCUAACUACGUGCCAGCAGCCGCGGUAAU